GGGCUGAUGGUGGAUACCUAGGCACACAGAGGCGAAGAAGGACGUAGCAACCGACGAAAUACUCCGGGGAGCUGGAAGCAAGCAUAGAGCCGGAGAUGUCCGAAUGGGGCAACCCUAAGUACUGCCGACUGAAUAUAUAGGUCGGAAAGAGCGAACCCAGCGAACUGAAACAUCUUAGUAGCUGGAGGAAGAGAAAGAAAACUCGAUUCCCUAAGUAGUGGUGAGCGAACGGGGAUAAGCCUAAACCAGAAGAUUUUUCUUCUGGGGUAGUGGGACAGCGAUAUGGAAUCAGAGUGUUAGACGAAGCAGUCGAAUACUGCACCAGAGAAGGUGAAAGUCCUGUAGUCGAAAAUGCAAAGAUACUAGCUGAAUCCCGAGUAGCACGGGGCACGAGAAAUCCCGUGUGAAUCAGCGAGGACCACCUCGUAAGGCUAAAUACUACUGUGUGACCGAUAGCGAAACAGUACCGCGAGGGAAAGGUGAAAAGAACCCCGGGAGGGGAGUGAAAUAGAACAUGAAACCGUCAGCCUGCAAGCAGUGGAAGGACGAUUCAACGUCUGACCGCGUGCCUGUUGAAGAAUGAGCCGGCGAGUUAUAACGUGUGGCAGGUUAAGGUGAAACGCCGAAGCCAAAGCGAAAGCGAGUCUGAAGAGGGCGAAUGUAUUGUCACAGGUUAUAGACCCGAACCCGGGUGAUCUAACCAUGUCCAGGAUGAAGCUUGGGUAACACCAAGUGGAGGUCCGCACCGACCGAUGUUGAAAAAUCGGCGGAUGAGGUGUGGUUAUGGGGGUGGGAAAUGCCAAUCGAACCCGGAGCUAGCUGGGUUCUCCCCGAAAUGUGUUGAGGCGCAGCGGCUGUGAUGAAAGUCUGGGGGUAAAGCACUGUUUCGGUGCGGGCUGCGAGAGCGGUACCAAAUCGAGGCAAACUCUGAAUACCAGACUCCGAGCAGCUAGUGAGACGGUGGGGGAUAAGCUUCAUCGUCAAGAGGGAAACAGCCCAGACCACCAGCUAAGGUCCCCAAAUUGUCACUAAGUGAUAAAGGAGGUGGGAGUGCAAAGACAACCAGGAGGUUUGCCUAGAAGCAGCCAUCCUUGAAAGAGUGCGUAAUACGCUCACUGGUCAAGCGCUCCUGCGCCGAAAAUGAACGGGGCUAAGUGACAUACCGAAGCUGUGGGAUAUGAAAAUAUCGGUAGGGGAGCGUUCCGCGAUAGGGUGAAGCACUAGCGGCAAGCAGGUGUGGACGAAGCGGAAGUGAGAAUGUCGGCUUGAGUAGCGAAAACAUUGGUGAGAAUCCAAUGCCCCGAAACCCUAAGGGUUCCUCCGGCAGGUUCGUCCACGGAGGGUUAGUCAGGACCUAAGGCGAGGCCAAACGGCGUAGUCGAUGGACAACGGGUGAACAAUCCCGUACUGACAAUAAGUAGUGCAGAGGGACACAGAAGGCAAAGCCAGCCGGAUGUUGGUUACCGGUUCAACCAUACGAGGUGAUGAGAAGCGGCGAAAACGCUUUGAGCUGAGGUGGGAGUACGAGGUGCUACGGCACCGAAGUGGUGUAGUCAAGCUGUCAAGAAAAGCUCUAGACACG
rnacentral:rRNA from 1 species